UACGGAGGGUGCAAGCGUUGUUCGGAAUUAUUGGGCGUAAAGCGCGUGUAGGCGGUCAUGUAAGUCAGAUGUGAAAUCCUUCCGCUUAACGGGAGAAGUGCAUUUGAAACUGCGUGACUAGAGUACGGGAGAGGAGAGUGGAAUUCCCGGUGUAGAGGUGAAAUUCGUAGAUAUCGGGAGGAACACCAGUGGCGAAGGCGGCUCUCUGGAUCGAUACUGACGCUGAGACGCGAAAGCGUGGGGAGCAAACAGG
rnacentral:rRNA from 1 species